AGCAGCCGCGGUAAUUCCAGCUCCAAUAGCGUAUAUUAAAGUUGUUGCAGUUAAAAAGCUCGUAGUUGAAUUUCGGGAUCAAUAUUUCGGUCAUGCCGUUGGUAUGCACUGUUAUCAUUGAUUUCUCACCUUCUAAAGAACCGUAAUGCCAUUAAUUUGGUGUUACGGGGAACUAGGACUGUUACCUUGAAAAAAUUAGAGUGUUUAAAGCAGGCUCACGCUUGAAUACAUUAGCAUGGAAUAAUGAAAUAGGACAUCCGAUUCUAUUUUGUUGGUUUCUAGGAUCGAUGUAAUGAUUAAUAGGGAUAGUUGGGGGCAUUAGUAUUCAAUUGUCAGAGGUGAAAUUCUUGGAUUUAUUGAAGACUAACUACUGCGAAAGCAUUUGCCAAGGAUGUUUUCAUUAAUCAAGAACGAAAGUUAGGGGAUCGAAGACGAUCAGAUACCGUCGUAGUCUUAACCAUAAACUAUGCCGACUAGGGAUCGGAUGAUGUUAAUUUUUUAAUGACUCAUUCGGCGUACC
rnacentral:rRNA from 1 species